AGCUUGGAGAGAAGGAGACCUUCAUGGAAGUGCAUCAGCCAUGGACUCUCUCCUGUCUUUGUUGGAUCCAUGGGAGAAUCCAAUGAUCCCAGGAUAGAGCAGACUCGAACCAUCUGGAAGAAAUGUAAAGCAGAACCCCAGGAAUAAACCACACAUCCAUAAGUAUCCAAAAGGAUCUGCAGGAUUCUUCAGGCCUGCCUAUAUUUUGUAAGGGUGAAGGAGUGGGACCCCAGCCACCCCAUGCCAGAUUAUAUCCUCACCCCUAUGUGACCUUAUUGCUACUCACACUCUCUCCCAAGCAUGAAAACCCAAGGCGAUGGAGGAGUGUCCCUCACGAUGUGAAGCCCCUGCUUGUCUGGGAAUUGAAUUUAAGAAUGAAAUCCCAGGAUGAUGGUGGAGUGUCCCCUCAUGAUGUGAAUAACUGCUUGACUGGGAACCAAAUUUAA
rnacentral:lncRNA from 1 species